UGACUCCAGCUUUUUGUGUCUAUCUUCAGUAUGUCAUUCAUUCAGCUGGGCUCGCUGUCUGGGCGCUGCGCUGUCACUGUCAGUGUAUCCAGACAUCAGAACUGGGACGAAAAUAGUUGUUUGUAUCGUGGGAGAUUCUUCCAUGGCUCUAUGACACCGAGGCAUCCGCACAGGAAUUACCCUGGGCGAUCUGGAGAACAAUUUCCAACUAUCCAGGGUAAAGGAGAUGUCGGUGGUGACCCGAGUCUCCUAAUAAUUCGCAAAAGCAAGUACUCUUCAAACAGAAUGAAAAAUGCACUUAAUUACUUUAAGCGGACGCAUACUAUAUUGUUCCGGACGACAGCUGAUACCGAGGCCAGAAUUUAUAAGUGUGUGGACUGAAAUGACCCAUUUCUUAACAGGAUGGUCCAAAGUAUUUGCCCUAGAAAAGAUACACAUUUGGAAAGCUCUCUUAAGCUUCUAUACCAUAAUUCCACAAGCAAUAUGAUGUUGAUGUUGAAUCUGUGAGAAGAAAGAAAGGGGGUAGUAAUCUCUCAAAGAUCUUAGACAUUACUUCGGGGAAAAUGUGGAACAAGAUUGUUUCCAUUCUUAAGCCAAAUCAAACAAAUAUUUAAGCUACUAUAGGUUGUUUCUUCCAGCUAAGACUAAUGCAUUUUGGGGGAACUGUUUGGAAUUGAAAUUGAGUAAAAUUAAGUUUAACAUUCUGACAGAAGAGAGAUUUGAGCUUUCAAUUCCCUUCAUAUAUAGUGAUGUUUCCUUUUUGUGUCAGCAUUUGUUGAAUAAUGAAAGACAGAGACAGCUGCUCCUUGAAUUCUUACAGAACUAGAUUUCACUCAUUAUAUUCUGGAGAUAUGCCAUGCCCUCAGGAGGGACAACAUGCUCACUUGGUUUUGGCAUCAGAUAGUAAGCAUCUAUCACUUCCCAUGAUGCAUUUCCACCAUAUAUUUUAGUGUUUUACAGUACAAUGCUUCACUUCAAAUUUUUGACACCAUCUCCUACUCGAGCACAUUACUGUCUGCAGCAAAAAAAAGGUUCAAGUUGCAUGAUACUUCAUCAGAAACAGGAAAGCCAGCACAUUUUAAUACUAUUCGUGAUUAUCUCUAUAAAUCUAGGUCCAAUUAUUUGUGGCUUAACUGAAUCACCAUAAAUGUUUAAACAUAUGAAACUCAUUAUAGUUAUCUCGCCAUGUACUGAUAGAAUGGACUGUUGAAAAACAUUUUCAAUGUUUCAAUAAGUCUGUGGAGCCUAUCAGUAUACUAAUGGGAAAAUAUUCCCAAUAGACUGAAAAGUUUACUGGUUUAAACAGGAGACCAAUAUAAAUCAGAUAACUAUAGACUAUAACUAAAUAUAUAUAAUAUUAAUAAUGAAAAACAAAAUUUAUGUACCUUAGAAAGCAGUAAGCAGUCAUGAUUCAGCAGACGAUGAUUCAGAUAACAACCUGUCCCUAAACACCUCUAAGGCCAAGGAACUGAUUAUCAACUUCAGAAGGACACAUAAUGGGGAAUACGCCCCAAUCUUUAUC